AUUGAAAAAUAAAUACACAGAAGAGAGAAAAUCUGAGACAAGGAUGGAGAGAAAAUCCCCACCCCAUCAUACCCCCGUCUGCUUCUCACCCCUGCCAGCCCCCAACUGCCAAGAGACCAGGCAUCCAGUCUGCUCCUCACUCUCUAUAACCCUCAACCUCUGAGGGGCCAAGCACUCAACCUGCUCCUCGCUCCCCUCCUCCCUCAGUCACCAAGGGACCAGGCACCCCGUUUGCUCCUCACCCCACAACAAGGAAGGGGUAUAGUAGAACCUGAUAUGUAAUCCCCCUGCAACUGAAGAAGUAACCUGGUUUGGUAUGUUUUCAGACGCUUGUGAGCCAAGAAUGCCUGUUCCUAUGGAAGCGCUGUGACACCAUGGUGAUGGGUGCUAAUAUGAAACACUCAGAUAAAAAGGACCAUACUUCAGAGCAGCAUUUGCCACCUUUGGUACAGGAUCACAUGCUGUCACUUCCAGUUGGAUUGGAUGGCACACAGUAACUGGGACAACGGUCCUGUAGAUCUAGGUCUCUCACUGCGGUAAGUUCUGUUUUACAGUCACCAGUGGGAAAAGCAUUUGUAUUACCGGAGUGCCCAGAGGCCCAAGCCAAAACUGAGGCCCCUUUGUGCUAGGUAUAGACAGUUCCUACCCCAAAGACCUCACAAUGUGAAUAGGCACAGUGUCGGAGGAAGGAAAGAUUAUCAUCCUCAUUUAACAGAUGUGGAAGCCUGAAAUUCAGCAGAUCGGUGAUUUGAUCAAAGUCAUACAGGGAAUCUGACACAGCUGGGGGAAAAAUGAGAUCUCCUGUGCCUCUGUCCAGUGCCUUAGCCACAAGAUCAUCCUUUCUUCUCAUUUCCCGGCUCUAAACAUUCACUUACUCAGGAAGGGAAGGGAUGUUCUUCCUGCUUUCUAGCUGUUGUUUACGUGAUAAUUGGUUACACAUUCAGCAGCACAUUUUUUUCCUUAUCUGUCUCUAAUAGGCUUCCUCCACCCACUCUGAACCCCAGUUCCAAGCCAGCAAUUUCAAGAUACAAGUUGCUCAUCAGCAUGUCAGGCAGCAGGCUGAAACCUUGAUCAGGCCUGUGGCACUGCUGGAGACUGCAAAUCAAGCUAGUUGGGACUCACUACCAUUAAUCGGUUAAUUCGUCCCCUUGGAGCCAUGAAGGAGCCUCACACUCAGGAGAAAUUUCCCUGGAUCGGGACGGAGGACUUGUCUGUUGUCCUGCGAGAGGAGAUUGUGUUGUCGAGAGAUAUUGAAUGUAGUGCAUAUCACCAUGUGAUUCAGGUGGGGCCCGCCAUCCUAUCAGGGAGGCGUCUGUUGUGAUUUGAACUGAUGGUGUUUCCUGUUGGAAAGGUAGGCCUGAGCACACAUUUGAUGGGUUUGUCCACCAGUGCAGUGAUUGAAUCACCUCUGCGGUGAGAGUGUGAUUCUCUUGUUUAGGCUGUGCCUCUGUGGUAGGUAGACUGUAUUUAGCCAUGUUUGUAGGCACUGUAUGUGUAGCCUGACGUGCUUGCCACUGCAUAUGUAGCCUGGCAUACUGGGACGUGCACUAGUAGGUGUAAGCAGGUGCAUGCAUGCACUCAUGGGCUGUGUGAGACCACUGAUGUAAAGGAGGUCAUCUUUGUAAAGCAGAGCUCUGGAAGGGAUGCUCUGGCCGUGAGUGAAUCCAGGCGAGCAUCUAUGAAUUCCAGUUGUUGUACUGGAGUGAGAGUGAUUUCUUUCCAUUGAUUUGUAGCCCCAGGGAGUGGAAGAGGGAGAUGGUUAGUUGAACACCUCUUUCUGUUCUGUCUUUGUGGAGCCCUUGAUUAGGCAGUCGUUUAAGUAAGGGAACAGGAGUAUCCCUUGUCUGCGUAAGUGCACUGCUACUACCGCCAGUGUUUUGGUGAACACUCUUGGUGCUGUCUACAGGCUGAAUGGAAGGACUCUGUAUUGGAAGUGUUCUUGUCCUACUGUGAACUUUAUGAAGCGUCUUUAUGAAGAGCCAGGUGGAUUUUAAUGUGAAAGUAUGCAUCUUGUAGGUCAAGGGCUGUGAAUCAGUCACUUUCUUCAGGUGUAGGGAUGAUUGAGUUCAGGCUGACCAUUUUGAAUCUGUGGGCACGGACAAAUUUGUUGUUUUCCUCUCAGGUAUCCACCCCCUAUAUUUCUUUUGAGCCAGAAAGUAAUGGGAAUAAAAUCUCUUCCCAGUGUGUUGUGUUAGGACUAGUUCCACCAUCCCUAUUUGCAGAAGGUGAUGCACCUCUUGUUUCAAUAGAUGCUCGUGGGAAG